rnacentral:rRNA from 1 species
UACAGAGGUCUCAAGCGUUGUUCGGAUUCAUUGGGCGUAAAGGGUGCGUAGGUGGCGGGGUAAGUCAGGUGUGAAAUCUCGGGGCUCAACCCCGAAACUGCAUUUGAUACUGCCUUGCUCGAGUACUGGAGAGGAGAUUGGAAUUUACGGUGUAGCAGUGAAAUGCGUAGAUAUCGUAAGGAAGACCAGUGGCGAAGGCGAAUCUCUGGACAGUUACUGACACUGAGGCACGAAGGCCAGGGGAGCAAACGGGG